rnacentral:rRNA from 1 species
CGAAUCUGAUCGUUUGAUCUUGUUCUCACCACCGAGAUGUUCAUAACCCUUUGUUGUCCGACUCUGUUGCCUCCGGGGCGACCCUGCCUUCGGGCGGGGGCUCCGGGUGGACACUUCAAACUCUUGCGUAACUUUGCAGUCUGAGUAAACUUAAUUAAUAAAUUAAAACUUUUAACAACGGAUCUCUUGGUUCUGGCAUCGAUGAAGAACGCAGCGAAAUGCGAUAAGUAAUGUGAAUUGCAGAAUUCAGUGAAUCAUCGAAUCUUUGAACGCACAUUGCGCCCCCUGGUAUUCCGGGGGGCAUGCCUGUUCGAGCGUCAUUUCACCACUCAAGCCUCGCUUGGUAUUGGGCAACGCGGUCCGCCGCGUGCCUCAAAUCGACCGGCUGGGUCUUCUGUCCCCUAAGCGUUGUGGAAACUAUUCGCUAAAGGGUGCUCGGGAGGCUACGCCGUAAAACAAACCCAUUUCUAAGGUUGACCUCGGAUCAGGUAGGGAUACCCGCUGAACUUAAGCAUAUCAAUAAGCCGGAAAAAAUCAUUACAAGUGACCCGGUUUAACCCCGGUAUGUUUAUAACUUUUGUUGUCCACUCUUGGCUCGGGGCGACCUGCGUGGGGGGGGCUCGGGUGAACACUUCAACUCUGGCUAACUGGCGGCGAGUAAACUUAAUUAAUAAAUUAAACUUUUACACGGAUCUCUGGUUCUGGCAUGAUAACAACGCAGCGACUGCGAUAGUGAUGUGAAUUGCAUAUAUGAAUCAUCAUCUUGAACGCAUUGCGCCGGGUAUUUCGGGGGGGCAGGCUGUUUCGAGGUCAUUUUAUAC